rnacentral:rRNA from 1 species
UACGUAGGUGGCAAGCGUUGUCCGGAGUUAUUGGGCGUAAAGCGCGCGCAGGCGGUGCGGUAAGUCUCUGGUGAAAGCGCUCGGCUUAACUGGGCGAGGGCCGGGGAGACUGCCACGCUGGAGGGGAGCAGAGGCGAGUGGAAUUCCGGGUGUAGUGGUGAAAUGCGUAGAGAUCCGGAGGAACACCAGUGGCGAAGGCGGCUCGCUGGGCUCUUCCUGACGCUGAGGCGCGAAAGCGUGGGGAGCGAACCGG